rnacentral:rRNA from 1 species
GACGUAGGGCGCGAGCGUUGUCCGGAUUUAUUGGGCGUAAAGAGCUCGUAGGCGGCUCGUUGCGUCGGCUGUGAAAACCCGCAGCUCAACUGUGGGCUUGCAGCUGAUACGGGCGGGCUGGAGUUCGGUAGGGGAGACUGGAAUUCCUGGUGUAGCGGUGAAAUGCGCAGAUAUCAGGAGGAACACCGGUGGCGAAGGCGGGUCUCUGGGCCGGUACUGACGCUGAGGUGCGAAAGCGUGGGGAGCAAACAGG